AAUGAACGUUGGCGGCGUGGAUUAGGCAUGCAAGUCGAGCGCGAUAUGUAGCAAUACAUGGAGAGCGGCGAAAGGGAGAGUAAUACGUAGGUAUCUACCCUCGGGUCUGGGAUAGCAGCGGGCAACUGCUGGUAAUACCAGAUAACGUCUCCGGACCCAAGGUGUGAUUCCACCUGAGGAGGAGCCUACGGCCUAUUAGCUAGUUGGUAGGGUAACGGCCUACCAAGGCAAAGAUGGGUAUGGGGUGUGAGAGCAUGCCCCCACUCACUGGGACUGAGACACUGCCCAGACACCUACGGGUGGCUGCAGUCGAGAAUCUUCGGCAAUGGGCGAAAGCCUGACCGAGCGACGCCGCGUGCGGGAUGAAGGCCUUCGGGUUGUAAACCGCUGUCGUAGUGGAGGAAAUGUAGGAGAGUUAUCUCUUUUACUUGACUAAUACUAGGAGGAAGGACCGGCUAAUCUCGUGCCAGCAGCCGCAGUAAGAC
rnacentral:rRNA from 1 species